rnacentral:rRNA from 1 species
UGGGGAAUUUUGCACAAUGGGGGAAACCCUGAUGCAGCGACGCCGCGUGAUUUAGAAGGCCUUCGGGUUGUAAAAAUCUUUUCUAUGGGAAGAAAAUGACAGUACCAUAGGAAUAAGGACCGGCUAAUUACGUGCCAGCAGCCGCGGUAAUACGUAAGGUCCGAGCGUUGUCCGGAAUCAUUGGGCGUAAAGGGUACGUAGGCGGGUAAGCAAGUUAGAAGUGAAAUCCUAUAGCUCGACUAUAGUAAGCUUUUAAAACUGCUCAUCUUGAGGUAUGGAAGGGAAAGUGGAAUUCCUAGUGUAGCGGUGAAAUGCGCAGAUAUUAGGAGGAAUGCCGGUGGCGAAGGGGACUUGCUGGCCAUAACCUGACGCUGAGGUACGAAAGCGUGGGUAGCAAACAGG